GUGUCUCUUUGUGGGUCAGUUCAGUGCGAGCCCCUUGAACCUUUCCCAUGCUUCAUGUAAAGAUUCAUUCUCCUUUUGUUCAAAAGAAGUGAUAUCCGCUUUGAGCUU